GUACACAAAAAUGCACAUAUUGUGAGCUCGAUGAGUAGGGCGGGACACGUGGUAUCCUGUCUGAAUAUGGGGGGACCAUCCUCCAAGGCUAAAUACUCCUGACUGACCGAUAGUGAACCAGUACCGUGAGGGAAAGGCGAAAAGAACCCCGGCGAGGGGAGUGAAAAAGAACCUGAAACCGUGUACGUACAAGCAGUGGGAGCCUCUUUAUGGGGUGACUGCGUACCUUUUGUAUAAUGGGUCAGCGACUUAUAUUCUGUAGCAAGGUUAACCGAAUAGGGGAGCCGAAGGGAAACCGAGUCUUAACUGGGCGUUAAGUUGCAGGGUAUAGACCCGAAACCCGGUGAUCUAGCCAUGGGCAGGUUGAAGGUUGGGUAACACUAACUGGAGGACCGAACCGACUAAUGUUGAAAAAUUAGCGGAUGACUUGUGGCUGGGGGUGAAAGGCCAAUCAAACCGGGAGAUAGCUGGUUCUCCCCGAAAGCUAUUUAGGUAGCGCCUCGUGAAUUCAUCUCCGGGGGUAGAGCACUGUUUCGGCAAGGGGGUCAUCCCGACUUACCAACCCGAUGCAAACUGCGAAUACCGGAGAAUGUUAUCACGGGAGACACACGGCGGGUGCUAACGUCCGUCGUGAAGAGGGAAACAACCCAGACCGCCAGCUAAGGUCCCAAAGUCAUGGUUAAGUGGGAAACGAUGUGGGAAGGCCCAGACAGCCAGGAUGUUGGCUUAGAAGCAGCCAUCAUUUAAAGAAAGCGUAAUAGCUCACUGGUCGAGUCGGCCUGCGCGGAAGAUGUAACGGGGCUAAACCAUGCACCGAAGCUGCGGCAGCGACACUAUGUGUUGUUGGGUAGGGGAGCGUUCUGUAAGCCUGUGAAGGUGGCCUGUGAGGGUUGCUGGAGGUAUCAGAAGUGCGAAUGCUGACAUAAGUAACGAUAAAGCGGGUGAAAAGCCCGCUCGCCGGAAGACCAAGGGUUCCUGUCCAACGUUAAUCGGGGCAGGGUGAGUCGACCCCUAAGGCGAGGCCGAAAGGCGUAGUCGAUGGGAAACAGGUUAAUAUUCCUGUACUUGGUGUUACUGCGAAGGGGGGACGGAGAAGGCUAUGUUGGCCGGGCG
rnacentral:rRNA from 1 species